AAAUUUAACUUUGUGCCUGACUUAAAUAAACGCCUAAAAAUUGAAAUUGGUUCACCAAGGGCGAGGCUCAGCCAUUGCACUUCGGCUGUGCUGACCCGUGCGAAUUCCUCCAAAUGUGGGAAUCUCGACCGCAUAAUUUCUGGUAGUGGGGGACUGCAUUCGCACUCUCCUCUG
ensembl:snRNA U1 U1 spliceosomal RNA